rnacentral:rRNA from 1 species
AUUGAACGCUGGCGGUAGGCCUAACACAUGCAAGUCGAACGGCAGCACAGUACUAGCUUGCUCUUACGGGUGGCGAGUGGCGGACGGUUGAUGAAUACAUCGGAAUCUACUUUUUCGUGGGGGAUAACGUAGGGAAACUUACGCUAAUACCGCAUACGACCUACGGGUGAAAGCAUGGGAUCUUCGGACCUUGCGCGAUUGAAUGAGCCGAUGUCGGAUUAGCUAGUUGGCGGGGUAAAGGCCCACCAAGGCGACGACCCGUAGCUGGUCUGAGAGGAUGAUCAGCCACACUGGAACUGAGACACGGUCCAGACUCCUACGGGAGGCAGCAGUGGGGAAUAUUGGACAAUGGGCGAAAGCCUGAUCCAGCCAUACCGCGUGGGUGAAGAAGGCCUUCGGGUUGUAAAGCACUUUUGGUGGGAAAGAAAAGCAGCAGGUUAAUACCCCGCUGUUCUGACGGUACCAAAAGAAUAAGCACCGGCUAACUUCGUG